CUGACAGGAGCCAAAUGGACGUUUUUGUUUUUUUGCCGUCUAGUAAACAAAGUCACGUGACCCGUGCAAGUCCUCUAUACCUAGAUUGCGCAACGAUGUAAAUUGGCGCCAUUUUCGAUCAACGUCGCCUGCGAUCUUACAGCGGUUCUGCGUGAUCCUCGCCCUCGGCUAGGCUGUUGCCUUCUGCUAAUAAAUGAAGGGUCGCUCGGCUCGGGAAUGGCAAAACAGUGCAACUAUUGAAGCUAUCAACAUACGGUAUGCCGGCAGAAGAAACAAAUGGGAAAAUAAUUGUAGGCGACGUCGAGACUGGAAAUAUGGAUUCCUUGAGCCAGUACAAAGAGAGUGGGCCAUUCUAACAGAAGAUUAGCAGCCCAGAUAGACAGAAGACCAUGAUCGGAUGAUAAUAACCUCAACUCAACAUUUUAUGAACAUCUGACUUGUUCAUUACAAAAUACCUUGUGUGAUGAUAUGGCGAUGGGAAGUGAGAACGUCUUCAGUCAGACAUGAUUGUCUAUCCAGUAAUUGCAAUAUUUCUGUUUGCAAUACAUUACAGUCAGCAUUUAUUGAAUUACAGACUCUGGUGCCAGUUACUGAUAGUCAUCAGCCUUAAACUUUUGAGUUCACAUAACAUCACAUUACUCAUGUAUACUGUGCUCACGUUUUGACUAUUUUUACAAAAUAUGUUGUCGGAAAUGUACAAGAUUCAAUGUUGAUGCCAUAUUUUCUAGUAAUCAUAUUCAUAGUAAAGAUGGGGCAAACUGGUCUAACCUGGUGAUUGUUUUAUUAUGGCAUCAGAUUAUAUGAAUGCGAAAGGCGGAUGAAGGAUAUCAUAUUUCAAAAGUUCUAACUAUGAAGAAAACCUUGGAUCAACCUACUUUAUCUGUAGAUCUACUGUUCUAUUCCAGGAAAGUUUGAAUUUUGUGCAGCUGCUGAAAGAUAAUGGAAGUCAUUGAUGGAGUUCUAUAUUGGGUGUUUUAUCGUCUGCACCUGUAGGAAAAUCAUUCUAAUUGUGCUUGAAAUAUACAGACAAUUCCAUGAGUUGUGUAUGAAUGAACGUUACAUGAUGAAAUUGUUGAACUGUUCAAUAAUGCCCCAUCUGAACCCUUCGAAUUUGCCAGGGAUCAAUCAGGAAAUCUGCUGUUUGGCAAAAACGAAAUUUCAAUGUAACUGUCAAAUCUUUGUUUUUUAAUGUGGGGGAUUUUGUAUGGUAUUUUUUUUAUCCAUGUAAGAAUAGGUUGGUCAACUGGUGGGUGAGACCCUUUGAAGUGUUAUAUUUUUUUCACAUUUUGUUUAUUAGGUUGGUCAACUGGUGGGUGAGACCCUUUGAAGUGUUAUAUUUUUUUCACAUUUUGUUUAUUAUAUCAAGAAUGUUAAUAAUACUGGUAAACAGGGUUGUCCAAAACGAUUCAAGUACUUUUCUGAAUAAUAGCCGCAUUCAGCUGUCAGUGAGGUGUUUUGCCUCCUAAGUGAAAUCUUCGAACAGUUUUCUGCGCUUUGUAUUGUACUGACGAUAAAAUAGACCUGGCACUUUGAUUGUUUGUUAUCUUCGGUGUGAACGUGCGCCUCAUAUUGUUGCACGAUUGAGUGAUUGACAUAGCCGCUAUUCCCCUGCAAGGCUUCUAAUUUACACAUUCAUUUCGAUGACGUCGAAAAAUUUAAACUUACGGUAUGUAAUGCAACAAGUGUUACGAUACCCAAUAAAUUGUCGCAAGUCGGAAUUAUUGGGAAAUAUAAUUCAUACUUUUUCUCUCUUUUCUGCAAAUAAUUUGAUAAUGAUAGAUAAUAGUAUAGACUUUUCACUAGGAUGAUUUUCUGUUGCGCAAAAUGUUUAGAUACCAGCAUCUAAAAUGCCUCGCUGUAUUAUUUUGAUUUUGUUCAACUUAUCUCAUGGUUGCGUAAAAUAACGAAAAAUGAAUGCCACGGCAAUCAACAUGAAAAGUUUUAAACUGCCUGAUUAUAAUUAAUUUGUAUUUUCGUACCUACUACAAUGUGAAAAACAAAACUACUCUAAAAUAUCACGGCAAUGUGCGGACAUAAACUGUCUGGUGAAUAGCCAGGUUGUAGAUAACAGUUAUUCCAUUGUUUAUUGUAUGCAAACUUCUUUAUACACUAAAAUAUGCUUUCUUUUAUUUGAAUUUAUUUUCGAAUGUAUCCGAUAUUUCAUAUUCGAAAAUAAUAAUUCCGAAUGUAUUGAAAAUGUGAACUAUUCGCCAUUCGGUAUUGGCCAUCUCUGGAGUGGAAAAUAUAGGAUUACUUAUGUUGAUCAUCUUAGAUGGUAUUAAUUUGCUUGAUUUUGUCUUUGAGAAUGAUAAUAUUGUUGAUAGUAAUGACAUUAUGGAUGUGAUGAUAUUCUUUUUUUAACCCUGGGGUUCGUACUAAGAGGACCAGAAUAACCUGUUAAAUAUGACCACGGAAUCAUUCGUUGCUAUGGCAGGUGUAGCGUAGUCCUGCCACUUGAUUUAUUUCCAUUGUGAUUUCAUAUUGUUUUAUUUAUAAGCUUAUCGUGUAACUGUUUUUUGAUUUUAAAUAUUUUAUAUAUGAUUUUUUAUAUUUGUACAAUUGAUUAUAACUCCGAUGGGAUUUUUGU